GAGAGGCUGUUUCCAAAUGGACCCCCGGCAUCCUUCCCUCCAAGAACUUCUCACCUUGCUCUUGGGGAGGCUCGAACUCACAACCUCUCGGUUGGAAGGGAAGUGGGAGUUGCUUACCAUCAGAGAUCCCUCUUGCCAAGAUUAAUCGUUUGGGCAUUAAUGAUUAGGAAGGAUAAUGGGACAGUGCAGAUUGAUUUUCCUGGUUCUGCAUCAACUCACCAACCCUACUAUUAUUAAUAUUAUAAAACCUUCGCACUGCUUCACGACGGUUUCCUUAUAAUUUGCAAAGUGAAGAUUUCCACUUUCUUUUUUGGGUAAUGAAGCGAAUCUGUAAUUAUGCUUUUGGAAUUUUCUUUUUUCCAUUGAAUUUUCAAUCGAAAUAUAUCCAUAAGAAUAAGAUUAGUACAGUAUAUUAUAUGCUUAAUUUGUUGAGUCAGAAUACUAGUAACUGAGAAUUACCAAUAACUAUUAUGCUUUGAUUCCAAAUUAUUUAUGUCAGUUAUA
rnacentral:lncRNA from 1 species